rnacentral:misc_RNA from 1 species
AUGGCUCUUUACAGCAUGUAAUUUAAAUGAAUAUCUUCGAAGAUAUUACAGAUUUAAAAUGCAGGAGACAGCGGCUUCGGCGGUACCGGCCGUGACUUGUGAACGUGGUAUACAAAGACAUUCUGUAGUAUAUUUAGUAUCAGCAUUGCACCCGUGCAAAGCCGGGGCGGGUCGCUAGUUUUAUAUAUAAGAUAGUGUCACUAAUCGUGAUGGACUGCGCAUAUGUAAAGAUGACUUAAAUAACUGAAGAUAAACUACUUAAAGAAGGAAUAAAUACCGAGUAUUUAGUAAUAUUCAUUUUACUCUAGGUGCGCAAUUUUAUUCUUGUCACAAUGUCCGAUCUGAGUCAUUUAUUAUUCGAGUUUCAUAUGUUAUGUUUUUAAAUUACUUCACAGUAUUUAGUUGUAUGCCUUUGGAAAAGUAUAAGGAAGGAUAUUAUGUCAUUUGAAAUAUGUACCUAGUACAAGACUGUUAAAAAUAACAAUUAAGAAAUCACUGAUAAGAACUGCACCACAAUUGACCAAACCUCAUAUCGUAAGAUCUUAAAAACUCUAGAUGAUAUUAGCAAACAUUUCUGUAUGGUAACUAAAGGUCCAGCUUUCAUAAUCAUUAUAUAAUAACAAAUGAUAGAAAAUAUAUUUAAUGUUUUUUUAUAACAGAAAAUAUUCAUAUUAUAACAGCUAUAGAUACACACAAAUACAUACAAAUACGCACAUACGUGACCUAAGAGUACAUUGUUCCAACAUGAACGUGGGCGAUACGAUGGACGGACACAUAAAAUACAUUAACAUCAAAUAACACCAACUUAGUCCCUAACUGCUUUUUAUUGAAAGAUAUACAAUGUUGAAUAUAUCAUUCAUUUUAGUGUUACAGAGGUCGCGUAUAAUUGUAAUCAUUAUAAUGAAGUUUAUUGAAAGUUUUAAUGAUUACCCAAGGAUGGUUGUUGACAUUGUUUAUACCAUUAUUAGUUUUACAAGACAAAUAUUAAUAUUAUAGCAUUUGGUAAUUACUA